rnacentral:rRNA from 1 species
AUUGAACGCUGGCGGCAGGCCUAACACAUGCAAGUCGAACGAGUGGCGGACGGGUGAGUAAUGUCUGGGAAACUGCCUGAUGGAGGGGGAUAACUACUGUAAACGGUAGCUAAUACCGCAUACCAUCAGAUGUGCCCAGAUGGGAUUAGCUUGUAGGUGGGGUAACGGCUCACCUAGGCGACGAUCCCUAGCUGGUCUGAGAGGAUGACCAGCCACACUAGGACUGAGACACGGUCCAAAGUCGUACGGGAGGCAGCAGUUGGGAAGAUUGCACAAUGGGCGCAAGCCUGAUGCAGCCAUGCCGCGUGUAUGGAGAAGGCCAUCGGGUUGUAAAAUACUUUCAGCGGGGAGGCGUUACCCGCGGGAGAAGCGCCGGCUAACUCCGUGCCAGCCGCCGCGGUAAUUC